GCAACAACCAAACUCUGCUACCAAGGUGAGGAUGUGACCGUUUCAUGUCAGAGGUCAGACAUCAUGACUGAGAGCAGCAACAAGACCCGAGGAAGUUAAAAUUCGUCACCAAGACAUCUAGCAUGGAUGUAUUGGAACAGGAAGAGAUAGCAGACAGGCUAUCACUGCUGUGAAUGUGAUGCACCACGGCCUUCCAGAGGUGUCGUCGUCUGUCUGCGCAGAGAGUGAUGGAUUAUGUAGGAUUCAAGGGUCUUCAGACUUCUUCAAACUUCAAACACCACGUGUCUUGCUUCUCAACAACACCAAAUAGACUGUCUGAACAGCACCCUUCAAUCACUCAACACAAAGGCAACAAAACACGCCUCUGUAAAUAUUUCAGUGGGCUCAGCACCCCAUCCAGGGUCUUGCUGCUUGCUGUCUGCUGGUCGUCUGAGUGAGCCAUUGUGUGGCCCAUGGCAGACUGUUUUGUGUUGUGCUGCUGGACGUGGCUGCUCUGUUGUACGGAGGCAGCAGUGCUUGCAUGCAUGCAGCAGCGGACAGGAUUAGGACUGAUAUUUCUCUGUGUCUAACCGGCUGCCAGGCAUGCUCCACUGCCUUUACACAGCACACACCUUUGACGUCAUUUCAUUCACUGCUGCAUAAAAACGCAACCUAAACCGAGUUCAGAUCGUUUAUUAAAGACGUAGCUCAGACACGUUGUAGUAAAAAUAAAUGUUCUAUGUGGAUCUUUAUAUCAUUGCAAAAACUGUCCAUCUGACCAAGUUUUAAAAUCUUA